UUUCCAGUCCAGGGCCGCUGAGAGUGGGGGUGGCUGGGAGCAGCGCAGCCUCCGGAGGAGGAGGCGGAGGCCGAGGACCAGGAAUCACCUUCAAGCCUAUGUCGUGAGGCUUUGGCAGAAAUUAAGAAGGAAAUAUCUCCAUUGUUCAUUGGCAUGGAAAAAUGUUCAGUGGGAGGAUUAGAAUUGACUGAACAGACUCCUGCUUUAUUAGGGAAUAUGGCCAUGGCAACUAGUCUCAUGGACAUAGGUCAUUCAUUUGGUCAUCCAGCUUGUCCUUUAGUCAGUAGAUCUAGGAACUCACCAGUGGAAGAUGAUGAUGAUGAUGAUGUUGUGUUUAUUGAAUCUAUACAACCUCCUUCAAUUUCUGCUCCAGCAAUAGCUGAUGAAAGAAACUUCAUAUUUGCAUCAUCAAAAAAUGAAAAGCCUCAAAGAAAUUAUUCUGUAAUUCCUCCUUCUUCAAGAGAUUUGGCAUCUCAGAAAGGAAAUAUAAGUGAGACAAUUGUUAUUGAUGAUGAAGAGGACAUAGAAACAAAUGGAGGAGCAGAGAAAAAGUCUUCCUGUUUUAUCGAAUGGGGACUUCCUGGAACUAAAAACAAAACCAACGAUUUGGAUUUCUCCACUUCCAGUCUUUCAAGAAGUAAGGUAAAUGCAGGAAUGGGUAAUAGUGGUAUCACUACAGAAUUGACUCUGAAAUACGUUAUUACUAAUGUUACAACCUUAGAAACAGGUAUAAGCUCUGUGAAUGCUGGGCAAGAUGUGAACAUAUGAUUACAUAUAAAACAUCACUAUAGAAUACCAACUUGGGAGAUGUCGCUAAAGGACUUCAGUCAAGUAAUUUUGGUGUUAAUAUACAAACAUACACCCCAUCUUUAACUCCGCAGACCAAGACUGGAGUAAGACCUUUUAACCCUGGUAGAAUGAAUGUGGCAGGAGACUUAUUUCAGAAUGGAGAAUUUGCAACUCAUCAUAGUCCUGAGAUGCAUCUACAAAGAAGGCUAAUGUCAUUCUUCCAGUAGAAUCAACCAAAUCCUUCCAAGAAUUUUAUAGUACAUCUUGUUUGUCUCCCUGUGAAAACAACUGGAAUCUUAAAAAAGGAGUUUUUAAUAAGUCAAGAUGUACAAUUUGUAGUAAAUUAGCAGAGGUCUGGAUUUUUUAUACCUAAGUUGUUGUUUAGGCUAACAGUAAUAAUUUUAACUUUUAAGUGCUAUUAUGUACUCUUUCAUCUACAUAAUGCACAUGUUCUGGAUGUAUAACAUGAAGCUGAAAGGAAGAAUAAGGAUAUGUUAGAACUAUCUUAUGGGAUAUUUUAUAAAUAAAAUUCCAUUUGCAUAGC
rnacentral:sRNA from 1 species